CAUGGCUCUCUGAACUCACCAGGUUUCAUCUGAUUUUGGAAGCUAGUCAGGGUUAGGCCUGGUUGGUACUUGGAUGGGAGACUUUCAAAUAAUUUCAAGGUUCUCCAUGU
ensembl:rRNA 5S_rRNA 5S ribosomal RNA